AUUGAACGCUGGCGGCAGGCCUAACACAUGCAAGUCGAACGAGUGGCGGACGGGUGAGUAAUGUCUGGGAAUCUGCCUUAUGGAGGGGGAUAACUACUGGAAACUGUAGCUAAUACCGCCUACCAUCGGAUGUGCCCAGGUGGGAUUAGCUAGUAGGUGGGGUAAAGGCUCACCUAGGCGACGAUCCCUCGCUGGUCUGAGAGGAUGACCAGCCACACGGGAACUGAGACACGGUCCAGACUCCUACGGGAGGCAGCAGUGGGGAAGAGUGCGCAAUGGGCGCAAGCCUGAUGCAGCCAUGCAGCGUGAAUGAAGAAGGCCUUCGGGUUGUAAAGUACUUUCGGCGGGGAGGCGUUACCCGCAGAAGAAGCACCGGCUAACUCCGUGCCAGCAGCCGCGGUAAUUC
rnacentral:rRNA from 1 species